GUCGAGGUAGUUUUUGAUGAAGCUGAAGUCCAAUCAACUUGAAACUUAAUUCACAUGUUCCCCAUGAUAUGAUCUUUCUCAUUUUAAUGCCAAAUUAUAGUUUUGACCCCAAUUUCAUGGUCCACUGAACAUAGAAAAUGAUAGUGCAAAGUUCAGGUUAAAGUUUUUGAUCAAGGUAGUUUUUGAUGAAGUUAAAGUUACAUCAACUUGAAACUUAGUACACAUGUUCCCUAUAAUAUGAUCUUUCUAAUUUUAAUUCCAAAUUAAAGUUUUGACCCUAAUUUCACGGUCCACUGAACAUAGAAAAUGAUAGUGGGAGUGGGGCAUCCGUGUACUAUGGAC
rnacentral:lncRNA from 1 species